UCAUUCAUACCUAUUAUAAAAACCAGUACAACUUUCAGCAACGGAUCUCUUGGCUCUCGCAUCGAUGAAGAACGCAGCGAAAUGCGAUAAGUAAUGUGAAUUGCAGAAUUCAGUGAAUCAUCGAAUCUUUGAACGCACCUUGCGCUCCUUGGUAUUCCGA
rnacentral:rRNA from 1 species